GACGAACGCUGGCGGCGUGCUUAACACAUGCAAGUCGAACGGAAAGGCCCUGCUUGCAGGGUACUCGAGUGGCGAACGGGUGAGUAACACGUGGGUGAUCUGCCCUGCACUUCGGGAUAAGCCUGGGAAACUGGGUCUAAUACCGGAUAGGAGCCAUUUUUAGUGUGAUGGUUGGAAAGUUUUUUCGGUGUAGGAUGAGCUCGCGGCCUAUCAGCUUGUUGGUGGGGUAAUGGCCUACCAAGGCGGCGACGGGUAGCCGGCCUGAGAGGGUGGACGGCCACAUUGGGACUGAGAUACGGCCCAGACUCCUACGGGAGGCAGCAGUGGGGAAUAUUGCACAAUGGGCGCAAGCCUGAUGCAGCGACGCCGCGUGGGGGAUGACGGCCUUCGGGUUGUAAACUCCUUUCGCUAGGGACGAAGCUUUUUGUGACGCUACCUAGAUAAGAAGCACCGGCUAACUACGU
rnacentral:rRNA from 1 species